rnacentral:rRNA from 1 species
CCUACGGGUGGCAGCAGUGAGGAAUAUUGGUCAAUGGACGAGAGCCUGAACCAGCCACGCCGCGUGAAGGAUGACUGCCCUAUGGGUUGUAAACUUCUUUUAUCUGGGAAUAAAACGUUCCACGUGUGGGAUUUUGUAUGUACCAUAUGAAUAAGGAUCGGCUAAAUCCGUGCCAGCCGCCGCGGUAAUACGGAGGAUACGAGCGUUAUCCGGAUUUAUUGGGUUUAAAGGGAGCGUAGGUGGUUUGUUUAGUCAGUUGUGAAAGUUUGCGGCUAAACCGUAGCAGUGCAGUUGAAACUGGCAGUCUUGAGUACGGUAGAGGUGAGCGGAAUUCGUGGUGUAGCGGUGAAAUGCUUAGAUAUCACGAAGAACUCCGAUUGCGAAGGCAGUUCACUGGACUGCAACUGACACUGAGGCUCGAAAGUGUGGGUAUCAAACAGGAUUAGAUACCCUAGUAGUC